rnacentral:rRNA from 1 species
GACGAACGCUGGCGGCGUGCCUAAUACAUGCAAGUAGAACGCUGAAGAGAGGAGCUUGCUCUUCUUGGAUGAGUUGCGAACGGGUGAGUAACGCGUAGGUAACCUGCCUUGUAGCGGGGGAUAACUAUUGGAAACGAUAGCUAAUACCGCAUAACAAUGGAUGACACAUGUCAUUUAUUUGAAAGGGGCAAUUGCUCCACUACAAGAUGGACCUGCGUUGUAUUAGCUAGUAGGUGAGGUAACGGCUCACCUAGGCGACGAUACAUAGCCGACCUGAGAGGGUGAUCGGCCACACUGGGACUGAGACACGGCCCAGACUCCUACGGGAGGCAGCAGUAGGGAAUCUUCGGCAAUGGGGGCAACCCUGACCGAGCAACGCCGCGUGAGUGAAGAAGGUUUUCGGAUCGUAAAGCUCUGUUGUAAGUCAAGAACGAGUGUGAGAGUGGAAAGUUCACACUGUGACGGUAGCUUACCAGAAAGGGACGGCUAACUACGUGCCAGCAGCCGCGGUAAUACGUAGGUCCCGAGCGUUGUCCGGAUUUAUUGGGCGUAAAGCGAGCGCAGGCGGUUUGAUAAGUCUGAAGUUAAAGGCUGUGGCUCAACCAUAGUUCGCUUUGGAAACUGUCAAACUUGAGUGCAGAAGGGGAGAGUGGAAUUCCAUGUGUAGUGGUGAAAUGCGUAGAUAUAUGGAGGAACACCGGUGGCGAAAGCGGCUCUCUGGUCUGUAACUGACGCUGAGGCUCGAAAGCGUGGGGAGCGAACAGGAUUAGAUACCCUGGUAGUCCACGCCGUAAACGAUGAGUGCUAGGUGUUGGAUCCUUUCCGGGAUUCAGUGCCGCAGCUAACGCAUUAAGCACUCCGCCUGGGGAGUACGACCGCAAGGUUGAAACUCAAAGGGAUUGACGGGGGCCCGCACAAGCGGUGGAGCAUGUGGUUUAAUUCGAAGCAACGCGAAGAACCUUACCAGGUCUUGACAUCCCGAUGCUAUUUCUAGAGAUAGAAAGUUACUUCGGUACAUCGGUGACAGGUGGUGCAUGGUUGUCGUCAGCUCGUGUCGUGAGAUGUUGGGUUAAGUCCCGCAACGAGCGCAACCCCUAUUGUUAGUUGCCAUCAUUCAGUUGGGCACUCUAGCGAGACUGCCGGUAAUAAACCGGAGGAAGGUGGGGAUGACGUCAAAUCAUCAUGCCCCUUAUGACCUGGGCUACACACGUGCUACAAUGGUUGGUACAACGAGUUGCGAGUCGGUGACGGCAAGCUAAUCUCUUAAAGCCAAUCUCAGUUCGGAUUGUAGGCUGCGACUCGCCUACAUGAAGUCGGAAUCGCUAGUAAUCGCGGAUCAGCACGCCGCGGUGAAUACGUUCCCGGGCCU